GGACCCGCACAAGUAGUGGAGCAUGUGGUUUAAUUCGAAGAUACGCGCAGAACCUUACCAACACUUGACAUGUUCGUCGCGACUUUAAGAGAUUAAAGUUUUCGGUUCGGCCGGACGAAACACAGGUGCUGCAUGGCUGUCGUCAGCUCGUGUCGUGAGAUGUUGGGUUAAGUCCCGCAACGAGCGCAACCCUCACUUUUAGUUGCCAUCAUUAAGUUGGGCACUCUGAAAGAACUGCCAGUGAUAAGCUGGAGGAAGGUGGGGAUGACGUCAAGUCCUCAUGGCCCUUACGUGUUGGGCUACACACGUGCUACAAUGGUAUCUACAACAGGAAGCAAGACGGCGACGUCAAGCAAAUCUAAGAAACUUAGCCUAAGUUCAGAUUGGAGUCUGCAACUCGACUCCAUG
rnacentral:rRNA from 1 species